GAAGCUGGAAUUGCUAGUAAUGGCAGGUCAGCAUACUGCCGUGAAUACGUUCCCGGGCCUUGUACACACCGCCCGUCACACCAUGAGAGUUGGGAAUACCCGAAGCCUGUGAGCUAACUUUUUAAGAGGCAGCAGUCGAAGGUAGAAUCAAUGAUUGGGGUGAAGUCGUAACAAGGUAAC
rnacentral:rRNA from 1 species